UGAACUGUGGACAAGAGACGCAUGGAGGGAUGGACUGAAAGAGAGAGAGAGAAGAGCAAGAAGGGAUUGCAUUGAUGUACUGGAGGAUGGACUUGUGGAUAUAUUGUGAUAUUUUUAUCAUUUUUUUUGGACUCUGAUUCUGACGGCACCCAUUCACUGCAGAGCAUCCAUCUGUUCUGAUGAAGAAACAAACUCAUCUACAUCUUGGAUGACCUGAGGAUGGAAAUUUUGUGGCUGCUUGUAUGUUCCAGUUGGUGUAUAGGGUGUGUUGUUUUUCAAUUCAUUUUUGCUCUCUCUGAAAAUAAUGCUACAG